UACGAAGGGGGCUAGCGUUGCUCGGAAUUACUGGGCGUAAAGCGCACGUAGGCGGCUUGUUAAGUCGGGGGUGAAAUCCUGGAGCUCAACUCCAGAACUGCCUUCGAUACUGGCGAGCUCGAGUUCGGGAGAGGUGAGUGGAACUGCGAGUGUAGAGGUGAAAUUCGUAGAUAUUCGCAAGAACACCAGUGGCGAAGGCGGCUCAGUGGCCAGAUACUGACGCUGAGGUGCGAAAGCGUGGGGAGCAAGCAGG
rnacentral:rRNA from 1 species